CGCAAUAUUUGCUGUUCUUGAAAUGUUUGCUGCAUGUAAUUGAAGCUUAAGUCCAGCAAAGAACAUAUGGCUGGAGCCACUAAUGAGUACUCUUUGGAAUGACCAUUCAGUCAACUUUGAGCUCAUCUAACAGGAAAUCCAUAUUUUACCAUUUCAUAAAGAACAAUAUUUUGAGGCACUCUAUAAAGGCUUUGCUGAGAUCCAGAAAUGAUCACAUCUGGUGGAUCAGCUACAGCUUGGCAAAGGCUUUUUAGGACAUGUCUUUACCUGGAGCAUCCACGGGUCCAGAAGAAUUCCCAAUAUAAAUUGCCCUCCAAUCAUACUUGAUCCUGGAAACUGGAUAGUCACUUCUAUGUUGUUUUCUGGGUAUCAAUAUGGAAGUGAUUUGCCAAGGCCAUUUGCCACUUUUUUAAGUUCUUACAGCUCUAAUAUUUCCUGAAAGUCUGAUUUCCGAGUAUUAACCAAGACGGACUCUAUCAUUUCUGAGAUCAGACAAAAAUCAGUAAGUCUAUAGACAUAAUAAUAUUAGUGGAAGGGAAGGGAAAGAGAAUAUUACAAAAAGUGAAAUAUUUAUUUUUUUGGAUACCCAAGGAUUCCAAAUAUAAG